UAGCGUAGCGGCAACGCGCCUGUCUAGUGAGUAGGAGUCGUGAGUUCGAGUCUCAC
rnacentral:tRNA from 1 species